UGCAUGGUAGCGCAGUUGGUAGCGCUGCUGCUUUGCGGCAAGAAGGUCCCGGGUUUGACUCCCAGCUGGGAGGUCUUUCUGCAU